rnacentral:tRNA from 1 species
GACCGCUUAGCUCAGCUGGUUAGAGCGUCUGACUUACAUUCAGAAGGCCGGGGGUUCGAAUCCCUCAGCGGUCA